GGAUAAGAUGGCAAUAAUAGCGAGAUCUCGAACCAUCUGACAUAACUGUGGGUAGGAAAACAAGCAGGAUGGAUCUAAGGCGGUAUAUUAGACAGACACGUUGCUCCCAUUUUCUGUUUGUUGAAAUUUGCCACUCAAUGAGGGACCUCAGUGACAGGUCCAGUCCAGCAAGGCGCUAACAUGUUAAAGGAGUAUCGCGAUCACCAGCCUGAGGCAUAAUAAUGCCUAUGAAUCUGCUUCCUCGCUUCUUUAAAUUAGACAUCAAGAGGUAUUUUUAUUAAUCCCGACAAACGUAUCAGCC